GGAGAGAUUUCCGAGCGGUUAAAGGAAUCAGACUGUAAAUCUGACGUGCGUAGCGCACUUCGUAGGUUCGAAUCCUGCUCUCUCCACCA
rnacentral:tRNA from 1 species